rnacentral:rRNA from 1 species
AUUGAACGCUGGCGGCAGGCCUAACACAUGCAAGUCGAACGAGUGGCGGACGGGUGAGUAAUGUCUGGGAAACUGCCCGAUGGAGGGGGAUAACUACUGGAAACGGUAGCUAAUACCGCAUACCAUCGGAUGUGCCCAGAUGGGAUUAGCUAGUAGGUGGGGUAACGUGUCACCUAGGCGACGAUCCCUAGCUGGUCUGAGAGGAUGACAGGCCACACGGGAACUGAGACACGGUCCAGACUCCUACGGGAGGCAGCAGUGGGGAAGAUUGCACAAUGGGCGCAAGCCUGAUGCAGCCAUGCCGCGUGUAUGAGGAAGGCCUUCGGGUUGUAAAGUACUUUCAGCGAGGAGGCGUUACUCGCAGAAGAAGCACCGGCUAACUCCGGGCCAGCAGCCGCGGUAAUUCC